rnacentral:rRNA from 1 species
UGAGUAACCUGCCCUUCACUCUGGGAUAACUCCAGGAAACCGGGGCUAAUACUGGAUAUGACUCGAACAGGCAUCUGUUUCGGGUGGAAAGAUUUAUUGGUGGAGGAUGGACUCGCGGCCUAUCAGCUUGUUGGUGAGGUAAUGGCUCACCAAGGCGACGACGGGUAGCCGGCCUGAGAGGGCGAUCGGCCACACUGGGACUGAGACACGGCCCAGACUCCUACGGGAGG